rnacentral:rRNA from 1 species
AUUGAACGCUGGCGGCAGGCUUAACACAUGCAAGUCGAGCGGGGGAAGGUAGCUUGCUACCGGACCUAGCGGCGGACGGGUGAGUAAUGCUUAGGAAUCUGCCUAUUAGUGGGGGACAACAUCUCGAAAGGGAUGCUAAUACCGCAUACGUCCUACGGGAGAAAGCAGGGGAUCUUCGGACCUUGCGCUAAUAGAUGAGCCUAAGUCAAAUUAGCUAGUUGGUGGGGUAAAGGCCUACCAAGGCGACGUUCUGUAGCGGGUCUGAGAGGAUGAUCCGCCACACUGGGACUGAGACACGGCCCAGACUCCUACGGGAGGCAGCAGUGGGGAAUAUUGGACAAUGGGGGGAACCCUGAUCCAGCCAUGCCGCGUGUGUGAAGAAGGCCUUAUGGUUGUAAAGCACUUUAAGCGAGGAGGAGGCUACUUUAGUUAAUACCUAGAGAUAGUGGACGUUACUCGCAGAAUAAGCACCGGCUAACUCUGUGCCAGCCGCCGCGGUAA